rnacentral:rRNA from 1 species
AUUGAACGCUAGCGGGAUGCUUUACACAUGCAAGUCGAACGGCAGCGCGGACUUCGGUCUGGCGGCGAGUGGCGAACGGGUGAGUAAUGUAUCGGAACGUGCCCAGUAGCGGGGGAUAACUACGCGAAAGCGUAGCUAAUACCGCAUACGCCCUACGGGGGAAAGCAGGGGAUCGUAAGACCUUGCACUAUUGGAGCGGCCGAUAUCGGAUUAGCUAGUUGGUGAGGUAACGGCUCACCAAGGCGACGAUCCGUAGCUGGUUUGAGAGGACGACCAGCCACACUGGGACUGAGACACGGCCCAGACUCCUACGGGAGGCAGCAGUGGGGAAUUUUGGACAAUGGGGGCUACCCUGAUCCAGCCAUCCCGCGUGUGCGAUGAAGGCCUUCGGGUUGUAAAGCACUUUUGGCAGGAAAGAAACGUCGCGGGCUAAUACCCCGUGGAACUGACGGUACCUGCAGAAUAAGCACCGGCUAACUACGUG